rnacentral:rRNA from 1 species
GAGUUUGAUCGUGGCUCAGAUUGAACGCUGGCGGCAUGCCUUACACAUGCAAGUCGAACGGCAGCAUGAUCUAGCUUGCUAGAUUGAUGGCGAGUGGCGGACGGGUGAGUAAUACAUCGGAACGUGCCCUGUAGUGGGGGAUAACUAGUCGAAAGAUUAGCUAAUACCGCAUACGACCUGAGGGUGAAAGUGGGGGACCGCAAGGCCUCAUGCUAUAGGAGCGGCCGAUGUCUGAUUAGCUAGUUGGUGGGGUAAAGGCCCACCAAGGCGACGAUCAGUAGCUGGUCUGAGAGGACGAUCAGCCACACUGGGACUGAGACACGGCCCAGACUCCUACGGGAGGCAGCAGUGGGGAAUUUUGGACAAUGGGCGAAAGCCUGAUCCAGCAAUGCCGCGUGUGUGAAGAAGG